rnacentral:rRNA from 1 species
AACGAACGCUGGCGGCAUGCCUAAUACAUGCAAGUCGAACGAUCACUUCGGUGGUAGUGGCGCACGGGUGCGUAACGCGUGGGAAUCUGCCCUUGGGUUCGGAAUAACGUUUGGAAACGAACGCUAAUACCGGAUGACGACGAAAGUCCAAAGAUUUAUCGCCCAAGGAUGAGCCCGCGUAGGAUUAGCUAGUUGGUAAGGUAAAGGCUUACCAAGGCGACGAUCCUUAGCUGGUCUGAGAGGAUGAUCAGCCACACUGGGACUGAGACACGGCCCAGACUCCUACGGGAGGCAGCAGUAGGGAAUAUUGGACAAUGGGGGCAACCCUGAUCCAGCAAUGCCGCGUGAAUGAUGAAGGCCUUAGGGUUGUAAAGCUCUUUUACCCGGGACGAAACCUGUUUAAUCUUAAGCAGCUGACGGUACCAGAGGAAUAAGCACCGGCUAACUC